rnacentral:rRNA from 1 species
UAGGGAAUCUUCGGCAAUGGGGGCAACCCUGACCGAGCAACGCCGCGUGAGUGAAGAAGGUUUUCGGAUCGUAAAGCUCUGUUGUAAGAGAAGAACGUGUGUGAGAGUGGAAAGUUCACACAGUGACGGUAACUUACCAGAAAGGGACGGCUAACUACGUGCCAGCAGCCGCGGUAAAACGUAGGUCCCGAGCGUUGUCCGGAUUUAUUGGGCGUAAAGCGAGCGCAGGCGGUUUAAUAAGUCUGAAGUUAAAGGCAGUGGCUUAACCAUUGUUCGCUUUGGAAACUGUUAAACUUGAGUGCAGAAGGGGAGAGUGGAAUUCCAUGUGUAGCGGUGAAAUGCGUAGAUAUAUGGAGGAACACCGGUGGCGAAAGCGGCUCUCUGGUCUGUAACUGACGCUGAGGCUCGAAAGCGUGGGGAGCAAACAGG